rnacentral:rRNA from 1 species
UGGGGAAUAUUGGACAAUGGGCGAAAGCCUGAUCCAGCCAUGCCGCGUGAGUGAUGAAGGCCCUAGGGUUGUAAAGCUCUUUUGUGCGGGAAGAUAAUGACGGUACCGCAAGAAUAAGCCCCGGCUAACUUCGUGCCAGCAGCCGCGGUAAUACGAAGGGGGCUAGCGUUGCUCGGAAUCACUGGGCGUAAAGGGUGCGUAGGCGGGUUUCUAAGUUAGAGGUGAAAGCCUGGAGCUCAACUCCAGAACUGCCUUUGAUACUGGAAGUCUUGAGUUCGGGAGAGGUGAGUGGAACUGCGAGUGUAGAGGUGAAAUUCGUAGAUAUUCGCAAGAACACCAGUGGCGAAGGCGGCUCACUGGCCCGAUACUGACGCUGAGGCACGAAAGCGUGGGGAGCAAACA